ACUAUUUUGGCAGAUUAGUGCAUUAAAUUUAGAAUUUAAGAAUAUAGUUUUAAAGCUAUAAAUAGUAC
rnacentral:tRNA from 1 species